CGCUGGCGGCGUGCCUAACACAUGCAAGUCGAGCGGGGUCCAUCCGGUAGCAAUACCGGGGAAGACCUAGCGGCGAACGGGUGAGUAACACGUGAGAAACCUGCCCCGAAGUCUGGGAUAACCCGAGGAAACUCGAGCUAAUACCGGAUGUCUUCUUCUGAUCGCAUGGUCGGAUGAAGAAAGAUUUAUCGCUUCGGGAGGGUCUCGCGGCCUAUCAGCUAGUUGGCGGGUAACGGCCCACCAAGGCGUCGACGGGUAGCUGGUCUGAGAGGACGAUCAGCCACACUGGGACUGAGACACGGCCCAGACUCCUACGGGAGGCAGCAGUGGGGAAUAUUGCGCAAUGGGCGAAAGCCUGACGCAGCAACGCCGCGUGCGGGAUGAAGGCCUUCGGGUUGUAAACCGCUUUCAGUGGGGACGAAUUCAGACGGUGCCCACAGAAGAAGCCCCGGCCAACUACGUG
rnacentral:rRNA from 1 species